UACCUGCAGCCCGAGUGGUGGCCGUUAUUAUUGGGCCUAAAACGUCCGUAGCCGGCUGAGUAGAUGCCUGUGUAAAUCGAACGGCUUAACCGUUCGAACUGCGGGUAGACCGCUCAGCUUGGGACCGGGAGAGUCACGAAGUACUCCGGGGGUAGAGGUGAAAUUCUGUAAUCCUCGGGGGACUACCGGUGGCGAAGGCGUCGUGAUAGAACGGCUCCGACGGUGAGGACGAAGCCCUGGGGCGCAAACCGGAUUAGACUACCCGAG
rnacentral:rRNA from 1 species